CCUACGGGAUGCAGCAGUGAGGAAUAUUGGUCAAUGGACGCGAGUCUGAUCCAGCCAAGUAGCGUGAAGGAUGACUGCCCUAUGGGUUGUAAACUUCUUUUAUAAAGGAAUAAAACGAGGCACGUGUGCCUUUUUGCAUGUACUUUAUGAAUAAGGAUCGGCUAACUCCGUGCCAGCAGCCGCGGUAAUACGGUGGAUCCGAGCGUUAUGCGGAUUUAUUGGGUUUAAAGGGAGCGUCGAUGGAUUGUUAAGUUAGUUGUGAAAGUUUGCGGCGCAACCGUAAAAUUGCAAUUGAUACUGGCAGUCUUGAGUACAGUUGAGGUAAGCGGAAUUCGUGGUGUAGCGGUGAAAUGCUUAGAGAUCACGAAGAACCCCGAUUGCGAAGGCAGCUUACUAAACUGUGACUGACAUUGAUGCGCGAAAGUGUGGGUAUCAAACAGGAUUAGAUACCCGAGUAGUC
rnacentral:rRNA from 1 species